rnacentral:pre_miRNA from 1 species
CCGGUGUGUGUGUGUGUGUGUGUGUGUGUGUGUGCGCGCACGUGCACGCAAGCUCACACCUGCAUGUACG